AGAACUUAGCAGAGAUGCUUUGGUGCCUUUCGGGAACUCUGAGACAGGUGCUGCAUGGCUGUCGUCAGCUCGUGUUGUGAGAUGUUGGGUUAAGUCCCGCAACGAGCGCAACCCUUAUCCUUUGUUGCCAGCGGCUCGGCCGGGAACUCAAAGGAGACUGCCGGUGAUAAACCGGAGGAAGGUGGGGAUGACGUCAAGUCAUCAUGGCCCUUACGGCCAGGGCUACACACGUGCUACAAUGGCGCAUACAAAGAGAAGCGACCUCGCGAGAGCAAGCGGACCUCAUAAAGUGCGUCGUAGUCCGGAUUGGAGUCUGCAACUCGACUCCAUGAAGUCGGAAUCGCUAGUAAUCGUAGAUCAGAAUGCUACGGUGAAUACGUUCCCGGGCCUUGUACACACCGCCCGUCACACCAUGGGAGUGGGUUGCAAAAGAAGUAGGUAGCUUAACCUUCGGGAGGGCGCUUACCACUUUGUGAUUCAUGACUGGGGUGAAGUCGUAACAAGGUAGGCGUAGCGAG
rnacentral:rRNA from 1 species